rnacentral:lncRNA from 1 species
UCCGUUACAUCGGCAUCCUUCUUGCAUGCAAAUCCGUUCACCUUCACCCCUACACAUACAUACAUACAUACAUACAUACAUACAUACAUACAUACAUACAUACAUACAUACAUACAUGAUUUAUGUUAGCUAGAAAAAAGUGUAUUAUUUGUUUAGAUCAAAGCUGUUGACUUUUGUUUUAAUUACCUGAAGAUGUAUCGGCUACGCAGAUAUCUUGGAGGGGAUCAGGG